GGGUUGUGAGGUUAAGCGACCAAGCGUACACGGUGGAUGCCCUGGCAGUCAGAGGCGAUGAAGGACGUGCUAAUCUGCGAAAAGCGCCGGUAAGGU
rnacentral:rRNA from 1 species